UACAGAGACUGCAAGCGUUAUUCGGAUUCACUGGGCGUAAAGGGUGCGCAGGCGGCCGUGUGUGUAAGGUGUGAAAUCCCGGGGCUUAACCCCGGAACUGCGCCUUAAACUACAUGGCUAGAGUAUUGGAGAGGGUAGUGGAAUUCACGGUGUAGCAGUGAAAUGCGUAGAUAUCGUGAGGAACACCAGAGGCGAAGGCGACUACCUGGACAAUUACUGACGCUCAGGCACGAAAGCGUGGGGAGCAAAAGGG
rnacentral:rRNA from 1 species